UGUAGCUUCAUUGUCUCGAAUGUACAUAAGCCCAGGAAUAAAAUCUUUAUCAACCUCACUGAGAUCAGCAAUUGUUAGGUUCAUUCCUGCAAGCUGUUUCCAUACUGGUUCAGCAAGGUUGAGGCUCAGAGGGCUGCCAGUCCGGAUAGCAAUACCCAGAAGUACACCCAAGAAACGGAACAUGUUCAUGUGCAAGAGAGACUUGGCAGCAGGAUUUAAUAGGAAACAAUCUCGGUUUGCUCCAGAUUCAUCUCUUCCAUUUGGUGUCACGAUUAACAGAGGGGUCAGCCCAUUCUGAAGCUCCUCACACAUUUCUGCUAUUGAUUCACUGUAACCUCCACCGCAAUCAUCCACAGAUUCACCAACAAACUUGACUUUCCAAACACGAUGAGGAAGCAGAAGGCUAUCAGGGCUAAAAGAGCUCAUUUUAGCACACAUCUGUCCGAAAACUGACUUUGUACCAUCCGGCCCAGCCAGUCCACCUUUACUCCUAGAACGUUUUACCUGGAUUCUAUUGAGCUCAACAACUGGCCCAUGCUGACGAUCUCUCACCAUAGUUGCUUGCACAACCUUUCGGAAAGCUGCCUCCUUUCCCUGUGAUAUCAGUAUUCCCC
rnacentral:lncRNA from 1 species